rnacentral:rRNA from 1 species
CCCUUAGAUGUCCUGGGCUGCACGCGCGCUACACUGACGAACUCAAAGAGCUUAUCACCUUGGCAGAGAUGUCUGGGUAAUCUUUUGAAAGUUCGUCGUGCUGGGGAUAGAUGAUUGUAAUUAUUCGUCUUGAACGAGGAAUUCCUAGUAAGUGUGAGUCAUCAGCUCGCGCUGAUUACGUCCCUGCCCUUUGUACACACCGCCCGUCGCUCCUACCGAUUGAAUGGUCCGGUGAGGUUCUCGGAUUUUUUCUGUUGUUUGGUUCGCUAAACGAUUGAAGAGAGAAGUUACCCAAACCUUACCAUUUAGAGGAAGGAGAAGUCGUAACA